rnacentral:rRNA from 1 species
UAGUCCACGCUGUAAACGAUGAUUACUCGGUGCUAGCAAUAUACCGUUAGUGCCUAAGCGAAAGUGAUAAGUAAUCCACCUGGGGAGUACGGUCGCAAGAUUGAAACUCAAAGGAAUUGACGGGGGCCCGCACAAGCGGUGGAGCAUGUGGUUUAAUUCGAUGAUACGCGAGGAACCUUACCUGGGCUUAAAUGCAGAACGACAGAUCUGGAAACAGAUUUUUCUUCGGACGGACUGCAAGGUGCUGCAUGGUUGUCGUCAGCUCGUGCUGUGAGGUGUCGGGUUAAGUCCCAUAACGAGCGCAACCCCUAUCCUUAGUUGCCAGCGAGUAAUGUCGGGGACUCUAGGGAAACUGCCGGUGCAAACCGUGAGGAAGGUGGGGAUGACGUCAAAUCAUCACGGCCCUUACGUCCAGGGCUACACACGUGCUACAAUGGCGCAUACAAAGGGCAGCUACAUGGUGACAUGAUGCUAAUCUCUAAAGCCUGUCCCAGUUCGG